rnacentral:lncRNA from 1 species
AUGGCAUCCAUGAAAAACCUUGUGGUAAAGGGGGGCAAAAAAAAAAGAAGCAGGUUCUGAAGUUCACUCUUGAUUGCACCCACCCCAUAGAAGACGGAUCAUGGAUGCUGCCAAUUUUGAGCAGUUUUUGCAAGAGAGGAUCAAAGUGAGCAGAAAAGCUAGGAAUGUCAUUGGAGGGGUUGUGAUCAAAAGGAGCAAGGGCAAGAUCACCAUGACUUCCGAGAUGCCUCUUCCCAAAAGGUAUUUGAAAUAAGAAAUAUUUGAAGAAGAACAAUCUACGUGAUUGGACGUGCGUAACUGCUAACAGCAAAAGGGGUUAUGAAUUACGUUACUUCCAAAUUAACCAGAACAAACAAGAGGAGGAAGACGAGGAUUA